rnacentral:sRNA from 12 species
GAUCGGCGUACAGUACUGGAGACGUGUCCCCAAAACGGUGCCGAGGGAAGUAAGCCACAGCAACAGCAUCUAAAAAGGUGGAAAGCUGAAAAAUCACGCGUCGGGUGGAGUUUGGUAGGUCAUUUACUUGAUUCGAAGAAGUCAGGCCCG